rnacentral:piRNA from 1 species
UGGUGAAACUUCUUACUGGUUACUUACCUG